rnacentral:rRNA from 1 species
UUGAACGCUGGCGGCAGGCCUAACACAUGCAAGUCGAGCGGUAGCACAGAGAGCUUGCUCUCGGGUGACGAGCGGCGGACGGGUGAGUAAUGUCUGGGAAACUGCCUGAUGGAGGGGGAUAACUACUGGAAACGGUAGCUAAUACCGCAUAAUGUCGCAAGACCAAAGUGGGGGACCUUCGGGCCUCAUGCCAUCAGAUGUGCCCAGAUGGGAUUAGCUAGUAGGUGGGGUAACGGCUCACCUAGGCGACGAUCCCUAGCUGGUCUGAGAGGAUGACCAGCCACACUGGAACUGAGACACGGUCCAGACUCCUACGGGAGGCAGCAGUGGGGAAUAUUGCACAAUGGGCGCAAGCCUGAUGCAGCCAUGCCGCGUGUGUGAAGAAGGCCUUCGGGUUGUAAAGCACUUUCAGCGGGGAGGAAGGCGUUAAGGUUAAUAACCUUGGCGAUUGACGUUACCCGCAGAAGAAGCACCGGCUAACUCCGUGCCAGCAGCCGCGGUAAUACGGAGGGUGCAAGCGUUAAUCGGAAUUACUGGGCGUAAAGCGCACGCAGGCGGUCUGUCAAGUCGGAUGUGGAAUCCCCGGGCUCAACCUGGGAACUGCAUUCGAAACUGGCAGGCUAGAGUCUUGUAGAGGGGGGUAGAAUUCCAGGUGUAGCGGUGAAAUGCGUAGAGAUCUGGAGGAAUACCGGUGGCGAAGGCGGCCCCCUGGACAAAGACUGACGCUCAGGUGCGAAAGCGUGGGGAGCAAACAGGAUUAGAUACCCUGGUAGUCCACGCCGUAAACGAUGUCGAUUUGGAGGUUGUGCCCUUGAGGCGUGGCUUCCGGAGCUAACGCGUUAAAUCGACCGCCUGGGGAGUACGGCCGCAAGGUUAAAACUCAAAUGAAUUGACGGGGGCCCGCACAAGCGGUGGAGCAUGUGGUUUAAUUCGAUGCAACGCGAAGAACCUUACCUGGUCUUGACAUCCACAGAACUUAGCAGAGAUGCUUUGGUGCCUUCGGGAACUGUGAGACAGGUGCUGCAUGGCUGUCGUCAGCUCGUGUUGUGAAAUGUUGGGUUAAGUCCCGCAACGAGCGCAACCCUUAUCCUUUGUUGCCAGCGGUUAGGCCGGGAACUCAAAGGAGACUGCCAGUGAUAAACUGGAGGAAGGUGGGGAUGACGUCAAGUCAUCAUGGCCCUUACGACCAGGGCUACACACGUGCUACAAUGGCAUAUACAAAGAGAAGCGACCUCGCGAGAGCAAGCGGACCUCAUAAAGUAUGUCGUAGUCCGGAUUGGAGUCUGCAACUCGACUCCAUGAAGUCGGAAUCGCUAGUAAUCGUAGAUCAGAAUGCUACGGUGAAUACGUUCCCGGGCCUUGUACACACCGCCCGUCACACCAUGGGAGUGGGUUGCAAAAGAAGUAGGUAGCUUAACCUUCGGGAGGGCGCUUACCACUUUGUGAUUCAUGACUGGGGUG